AGUCGGGAGGUGAACCGCGACAAGGGCAUGGGGGUAUAGACCCAGGAAAGAGCUGUCAUUUGCUACCCCCACUGGAGAGAGGACAGCGCGCCGACCCGGGGAUCGCAGGUGGCCAUUGUGGCAGGGCUGGAACGACUGCGGUGGAGCAAGAGGACCUUGUAGACACCGCGGAGCCGCCGAAGAGGAAAAGACUCCCCAGGCCCAGAGGCUUAAGGAGGCCAAGUGGAUCUAGGCCGGAGGAGAAGAGCCUUAGGGCCCCACAGAAGAAGCUAGCAGUCCCAGCUUCCCGCUCGAGGCCAUCGUUUAGCGAUGCCAGGCCCCGACCCCACCGUAGGCCUUGAGAAAUGCACCAGGCAGGGUUUCAAUUCUUAGAUUCUAACUGUGGCUCAGCUUUGUCGCACUGUGUAGCCUAAGGCCGACUCCUUCCCUUAUCAGGGCCUCAGUCUGUGUACCACGAUGGGGUCAGGUGGAAUAGUCUCCCCUGGUUCUUCAUGGUUUAACAGGCUGAGACUCUGAUUUGCUCCUUUCAAAAUCCCAAGAGCAGCCAGCCACACGCCCUGUUAAUCAGAGCCCUUGUCUGCAGACCCAGCCAAUGUUAAGUGUGUUCUUUUGAGAGAAAUAGCUGUCCUUUCACUAUAUUUGAAUCCAUUAAAUAAAAGAGCUCAAAUUAAAAUAUAAGAUAUUCAGACUUAGACUUCUUGUCCUCUUCCCCCUUUUCAGUGAGUGUAAGUCUCUAGGGUGAGAGAGUACUGAACUUAACUACUUUUAAACCCAGGCAUGUGGUACGAAAUUUGUAUUCAUUUUUUAAACAGUUUUUGAGCCAAAAGUCAGCUGCCAUUCUAGGAUCUGAGAAAUCAGUUGAAUAAGGAGCUUCUGUGACCUUCAGGAAUACAUGGUCCAGUGGAUUAGAGUGGAUGAUGGAGUCCCACAAAUCUGAGUUUGAUUCCCAGCUUUCUCAUUUUCUAGCUUUAUUAUAUUGUGCAGGUUCCUUAAUCACACCAAGCCUCUUCUUCUUCAUCUAUAAAAUAGAGAAAGUAAUACCUCAUGCAAUUGUUGUGAGGCUUAAAUAAAAUAAAAGUUUAGCAUAGUUCCUGGCACGUAAUAAUAGCCCAAUCAAUGUAAAUUGCUAUUAUGGUUGUGGAGGAGGUGAGUAGGCAAAUGUAUUAGAUAACAUUGUAAUAGAAGCAUGAGCAAUGGGUUGUGGGAUGUACCAUGGAAAGAUUCAGAAAAGUGGUUGCAUUUGAGCUGGGUCUUUAAAUAUAAGUAAGAAUUUAUGAGAUAGAGAUGAGAAAAAAUAAUUGUAAGCAGAAAAACUGUGAAUAAAGGUCCAGGAGUUUGAAUAUUGGAGAACUAUUCAGAAAUAACUUGAUUUGAAAUUUGGGGCAGUUACCUUUCAUAUUCCUUGUGUUGGCUGCCUCAACAAGUGCUCUGGUUCAGCUGUGUUCUUCCUGGGACUUCGAUGCCCUUCCUUUCAACCUGUCUGUACUUGGCUUUCUUUUCCAAGGGUCAGCCCAAUCCUCAACUUUUUGAGACCUCCCUGCUUUCUGCUUUUCCCAUUUCUUGUAGCACUUAAUUUCUUACUACAUGGUUUAGCAGUAAUUACAUGUUGUCCUGUUAUUUAAUUACCUCAUUUGUGUAAGUCUAGUCUCCCCAGUUCUCCAGGGCAGAGAUAGCAUUUUCCCAUUUUGUGUCCUAUAUGGGGCUGACAUAAACUCAGUCCACAGAAUAUGUUCAAGCAAUGCCUGUUGACGACCAGAUACCUUGUGCUGAUAGUGAUAUAGCCACAUGUACCAGAGCCCAAUUAUGGGAUUUACUGAUUUGAAUGGAAAUGUCUUCACUCCACAUCCACACGUUAUUGAGUGUUCUCUCUGUUUGAAGCUAGUUAAAAGGUUUUGAAGGAGAGGAUCUGAGAAGACACAUGUGUAAGGUGCUUGUUGCCAUGUAUAAAAUGGCGUUAUGGCAUCUUGUUGCCAGAGAACAAGGGAUAGAUGUCAGGGGCAGCUGGCCUCCUCACUGGCAUAACAGGAGCACUGUCAGGAAAGGCAACUUUGUUUCCUUGAGCUUUGGAUUUGCCUGAACCGCCCAGGUUCCAAACCAUCAGCCAUUCUCUUCUAUUCCCCAAACUGUGGUUGGAUUGUGGCACAGAGUCAGGUUGAUUCAAUUCCUCUUCAAAGCACUAUUCGAACAAGGAGAGACCCAGACCUAGGCAUGGAAGUUGGGAAGACUCCGAAGCAGCUGCAUCUACAAUGACCAACCUGAAUGGUGAGGAUUAGGAACUAGCCAGGUGAUGAUGAAGGGAAGGUACAGUACAGGAAAAGGAAAUAGCUGAUGCAAAGUCCCAGGGAGACACAGAAAACACAGCUUCGCAAAGAAAGCACAACUUAAGAUCACUGUGAGCCAGGCGUGGUGACACACACCUGUAAUCCCAGUGGCUAGGGCAGCUGAGACAGGAGGAUCUCAAGUUUAAAGCCAGCCUCAGCAAAAGCAAGGUGCUGAGCUAAGACUGUGAGAUCCUGUCUCUAAAAUAAAGUACAAAAUAGGGCUGAGGAUGUGGCUCAGUGGUCAAGUGCCCCUGAGUUCAAUCUCUGAUUAAAAAAACAAAACAAAACAAACAAAAAAAAACAAUUACUGUGGUUAUAGGGGGUCAGAGUUGGCAUGAGGGGUUGGGGGCAUAGAAUAGUUGACACUCCUUUCAUCUGAAGCCGUAUGGGGCCAGGUCAUAAGGCCCUAGAGUUGUCUGGACUUGGUCAGAGGGCAAGGAACACCUAGGAAGGGUUUUAGCAGAGGAGUAACCAGGCCAGAGGAACAAAGAAAGGACUUUGGCUACUGUGUGGGGGACAGAUUGGAGAGAGAAAGUCUUCAUUUUCACUGUCUCUUCUAGGCCAGUGGCUUCACCUUCAUCAUUGAGAAGGCUUGGUCAUCACCUCAGCACUGACUUGGGUUCUUUAGAUGUUUUUUUAUUAGUGGGGAUUUUUUUUUUAUAUAGGAAUGCAAAUUCCUUUAUACAAAUGUUUUGUUUUGUUUCAUUUAUUUUUAAAAGGACAUGUAGAAAACCUGCUACCUGGCAGGGAUCUGGACAUGGGCUUGGUCAGACAGUCAAACAAUUUCUAUUUAAGUGUGCAAUGUGUUAAGGAAGAGCCUGCUGGUAGGGAUCAGGGAGCAUGCCAAGUUCAGUAGAUUUGACCCCUCAGAUGAAAAGAUAUAUAAAAUUUAAAUUAUCUUUUCAUUACCAAUGAAAAGAUAAUGUAGGGGAGGGCAUAGAAGGUCAUUGAAAGAGCUACUACUCCAGUAAGAAGUCAAAUAGUACUAAAGGUUUAUAUCAAACCCAGCAGACUUCGGCUCCCUGCUCUCCAGUCUCUAGUUCUGCUCCCCAGAGGCAACCAUUGUCAACCCUUUGAAAAUGUCAGGAGGCAGAAGGGCAGAGGCUCUGAAACUGGCGUGUCUCACAUCCAACGUAGCUCUCCUAAAGACCAGCCAGGUUAUCUUGGUCAAGUUAAUUAUAAUAGUUCCCUCAGUUUUCUCAUCUGUAAGAUGGAACAGUGCUGUCAAUGAAUAGUAGCUGCAUGUGAUGCUGAUGAUAGAUGAGGACUAACUUGAGAGGCGCUAUGAGCAUACUCUGAUGUUAGUCAUAUACUAUACAAAUAAACAUAAGGCCUGAUUAUGGCUUCGAGGAAAUGACAAGGACAUGGACUCAGUUGGAGAGGUCUGAGUCUUCCCCUUCUUCUAAGGUCAAACCCUGUUUAUUCUCAGGCCCAUUCCCUUCCUGUCUUUUGUAGAACCUUGUUGCUAUUAUUAUCCUUUUCCUCAUGCUAAAGCAUACAUCUCUUUACUAGAUAUUUUUUUCUUUCUGCCUAUGAAAUAGACCAGGGCUUACUUAGGUGAGAAGCUCUUUACUUGAUCCUCCUGCCCUUUUCUGCUCCUAUUCUGUUCAUUUCUGUCUACCACCAGAUUUCUUAGUCAACACACAUUCUGCUUCCCAGUUCUAUACAACUUCCUUGCUCUUCAUCCAUGUCUCCCAGCUUUUAUCCUUGUUCUUCUGAUGCAGGGUCACAAGAUCAUCAAAGCUCACCUCAUUAAUCCCCAGUGGGCCUUUGGAUCCAGAGCACUUGACUCAACUCCUUAAAUUUUACAUACAGAACCUCAUCAUCCUGCUCCUUCGUUUUCUAUUGUAUCAAUUCUCUAAGCCAUCCAGGCAAGAAAGAGGGGUGACUCAAUUCCCCUGUGUCCCUUCCACGCCCACAUUAGUUUUGACUCUCACUGCAAAUGCUAGAAACUCAUUGAGGAUAGCUUUUGAAAAGCUUUACCAGGAUACCAGGGUAGCAGGGGGGAUAUCUAAUGAACCCCACGAUCAGGAUAGAGCUGGCAGCCAGGAAAAACUAGAACUAGAGACUCAGGAGUCAACAAAUUGAGCAAUCUGUCUCUCUCUCCCUCUCCCUCUCCUUCCUUCUUUCCUUCCUUCCUUCCUUGUGGAUUUCUUGUGAUCUGCACAGACACCCCAAAGGUGUCAGAUACUCCCACACCCAGCUAGUCACCAGGUCCUAUUAAAAAUCACCCUCUUGCGUCAGGGCUGGAGUCUCCUCUGCAGUUUCCCUUGUACUGCAUCUUGCUUGUUUGUUUACCAUCUGAUCAUUUUUCUGUCUCUGUUAUUGCUUCUUCCUUCUUCUGACCCCUAGCGCAAGCAUCACAUUUCAGUUCUUUGCUCUUUUCUGAAGCUCCCUUUUGUUUUUUUUUUUUUUUGACUCCUAAAUAAGAAUAUAGUGAUUAAGAACUUAGGUUCUAGAAUCCUAAUGGCCUGUAUUUGAAUCUUCCACUACUUUCUGAUUGUGUAAACUUGGGAAAGUUACUUGAAUUUGUGAACCUUAAUUCCUCCUCUGUGAAUUGAGGUACAUAUAAAGUGCUUAGUUGGCACAAUGUCCAGCGCACAGAAAGAACUCAAUCGGUGGUAACAAUGAUUAGCCUUACCUUGUCCUCUUUCCUGAGUUUUAGUCCUAGAUCCCCUGCUAGCCUUUUCCCUUAGAUGUUCUGCUGAGAUCUCAUAUCCACCUGUCAGAAUUCUCCAGAUACUGAGGGAAGAUGCACCUUUCCCCAAGAGAAUUGAGGGUAGGAGGCCUGAAAAAGAUGGAUGGUCUCAUCAAAUUCUCGAAGGAACCUGACCUUAGUCAGGCCUCAGGAGAAAAGACUCCAAAGAGCAGUGCUCCUGUAAGCCCCCAAGUCCUGUGCUGGCUGACUCUUGGGACUCAGGAGGGCAGGCAGAGCUGCCAUUAGAGGCACAUGGAGGAUGGGAAUCCAAUCUAAAACAACGGGGUGGUGAGAGAUGUCGCAGGAUCUUCAGUGCUUCAAGAGUGUGUGAAAAGUGUGAGCUGCAUCCUCAGGGCAUUGUGCCAGGCUCAGGCUGGGGCCUCCCUCAAGUGCUGGGGUUUUGGUGCACUUCUGGAGGCCAGAAGCACUCCUGUUUUUAGCUGAGCUAUUACAGAUCCCCUUUGCACCCUUGUGAACAUUCAUCACCAAGUCCCACGGGUAGAGUGUACAGCUUUCUAGGGCCCAGCAGCCCUGCUCUACUGGCCUGCUCUCUGCUCCCAGGUGGAGACAUUUCUGCAACAGGAAUCUUGGAGGGCAGUGCUCUCCUCCCACCAGCACAGAGAUGGGGAGUGGGGCAGGGAGGCUGCCCUGCCAAAUAGUUCAGCGCUCUGACUCUGAGUCAGAAUGUGCCUGUGCAUCCUGCCUUUGCCAUUACUGUCUUUGUGGUCCUAGGUCAGUCAGUUAACUUCUCUGUCUCCUCUGUACUGCAGGGAUGAUGAAGGGCUGGGGAUAUAGCUCAAUUGGUAGAGUGCUUGCCUUAUAUGACCAAGGCCAUGGGUUCAAUCCCCAGCAACACAAAAAUAAACAAACAAAAAAAUGGAGAUACUGAAGGGGUGGUAAUUCAAUAAUGAGUCUAAUUGUUGAAUUUUAGUAAGAUAAUGCAGGGAAAGCACUCAGUUUUAUUCACUUACAUGAUCUGAACCCUAGGGCCCUGGCCUUGCAGGAAUAACAACCCCCAUUCCACACACACACCCUGACUGCCAUCUCUAUCCCAUCUGUUUAGUCCUCUGUUUACAUAUCUGUCGUUGCCUUUGGAUGAUAAGCUCCAUUAAAUCAAAGAACUGUAUGGGUCUAUGUCCCUUGUGUCCAGCAUAGGACUUGGUAUAUGGAUGAUCUUAAUACUUGUUUAUUGGAAGGAAGUGGUGAAACAAUAUAGAAGACUCAGGAUUCAUUCGGCCUCAGAGUCCCAUCAUCCACUCUAGUUACUCCCCAUAAGUGGAGGGCCUAGGUCCCUCGAUGUCCUAGAAGCUGGAGAUACCACAGCAAAUGCAACAGACUGAGCUCCUAGCCUGGUGAACUGUCCAAAGGGUGAAAGACAUUAAUCGCUUAACAAAACCAAUGCUACAUUUCAACUGGGAAACUUGCAAGUAAGGAGAAACCUGCUGCUGUGACAGCAUAGAACAGGAGGAUCACUUUUGGGGGAGGAAAGAAUUGGAAGGAAUUUGCCACACCAUGUAACAAGUAAUGUAGGCCCAAAGAAAGGAUAGGCUGUAGGUUAGGGAUGUAGCUCAGUAUUAGAGUACUUGCCUAGCAUGUAAGAGGCCCUGGGUUCAAUCCCCAGCAAAACACAAACACACAGAGGCUUGGUUGAAGCAGAAGGUGAAAAAAAUCUUUCAGGCAGAGGGAAUGUGCAAAAGUCCUGAGGCUGAAAGUACUGAGUCUGCUGGAUGGAAAACAAGGCUUAUGUGACUAGAACCCUAUAAUGGAGGAAUUCAGUGGCCUCUAGAAGGUUGCAGAGCUGGGAGCACAGGUUAUGCAGAGCCUUUUUUUUUUUUUUUUUUGAAUGAUACUAGUUAAAAUUUACUCAAUUUUAUGUAUAUGUGCACUGUGCUAAGUACUUUGCAUGCAUGUUUUCUCAGUUACUUUUCACUUUUUUGGUGCUAUUAUUCCCAUUUUACAGGUGAGGAAAAUCCUGACUUAGGAAGGUAAACUUGCUCUGGAUCACACAGAUGGUGCUAACGUAGUUGGGAUUUGAACCCACCCGUUAGGGCCCAACAUCUACCUUCUUAAUUCCUGCACCGGGUCUAAGAAUUAAGUGCGGACUUCCAUCUUUGGUGCACAUUCCAGCUUUGCUACUUGUCGCUGAUGCUUAUCCUCCAGACUGGAGGAACCUAGGUAUACCUUUGUCCUGGUCAGACGUGCUCUCCGUGCUCUCUCCAGUGGCAACUGCCUGUAGAGGUGGCCAGAGUUGCCUGGUUUGGGCUCCCGUCCACGUGACCAACCAGGCGCCGCCUUGCCAGUGCGGUGCAGUGCGACGGGUGCUGCCGCUGCCACCGCAGCUGUGAAAUCUGGAGACAUCCCACCCGGGAGCCACCCCGGGUUGGGCAGGGAGGGGCGCCCGGCAGCCUCCGGCAGAGGGCUCCCUCCCCGCGCUCCCAGGACUGAGCCCGCAGCCCUGUGCCUGCUUCACGUCUCCUCCAGCGUUGAGGGGGAAAGCAGCGUUCAUUUCUGAUUAAAAACGACUCUUUUAAAA